rnacentral:rRNA from 1 species
GAUGAACGCUAGCGAUAGGCUUAACACAUGCAAGUCGAGGGGUAACGUGUUGGAAGCUUGCUUCCGAUGACGACGACCGGCGGAUGGGUGCGUAACGCGUAUGCAACUUGCCUCACAGUGGAGAAUAACCCGGAGAAAUCCGGACUAAUACUCCAUACACUCUUAGGUACACCUGUGUUUGAGAGGAAAGAUUUAUCGCUGUGAGAUAGGCAUGCGUCCUAUUAGGUAGUUGGUGAGGUAACGGCUCACCAAGCCGACGAUAGGUAGGGGUGCUGAGAGGCAGAUCCCCCACAUUGGGACUGAGACACGGCCCAAACUCCUACGGGAGGCAGCAGUGAGGAAUAUUGGUCAAUGGAGGAAACUCUGAACCAGCCAAGUCGCGUGAAGGAAGAAUGUCCUAAGGAUUGUAAACUUCUUUAGCGAGCGAGUAAGGACUUCCACGUGAUGGGAGUUUGAAAGUAGCUCGAGAAUAAGUAUCGGCUAACUCCGUGCCAGCAGCCGCGGUAAUACGGAGGAUACGAGCGUUAUCCGGAUUUAUUGGGUUUAAAGGGUGCGCAGGUGGUCUUGCAAGUCAGUGGUGAAAAGCUGAGGCUCAACCUCAGCCUUGCCGUUGAAACUGCAAGACUUGAGAGUACAUGAUGUGGGCGGAAUGCGUAGUGUAGCGGUGAAAUGCAUAGAUAUUACGCAGAACUCCGAUUGCGAAGGCAGCUCACAAAGGUAUAUCUGACACUGAGGCACGAAAGCGUGGGGAGCGAACAGGAUUAGAUACCCUGGUAGUCCACGCCGUAAACGAUGAUUACUCGAAGUAUGCGAUAUGACAGUAUGCUUCCAAGCGAAAGUGAUAAGUAAUCCACCUGGGAGUACGCCGGCAACGGUGAAACUCAAAGGAAUUGACGGGGGCCCGCACAAGCGGAGGAACAUGUGGUUUAAUUCGAUGAUACGCGAGGAACCUUACCCGGGAUUGAAAUGUAUGUGAGCCUUUUGGGAAACCGAGAGGGUUCUCUUCGGAGACACAUAUGUAGGUGCUGCAUGGUUGUCGUCAGCUCGUGCCGUGAGGUGUCGGCUUAAGUGCCAUAACGAGCGCAACCCUUAUCGUCAGUUACUAACAGGUAGCGCUGAGGACUCUGGCGAGACUGCCGUCGUAAGGCGAGAGGAAGGUGGGGAUGACGUCAAAUCAGCACGGCCCUUACAUCCGGGGCGACACACGUGUUACAAUGGUAGGGACAGAGAGUAGCCACUCGGUGACGAGGAGCGGAUCUUGAAACCCUAUCUCAGUUCGGAUCGGAGUCUGCAACUCGACUCCGUGAAGCCGGAUUCGCUAGUAAUCGCGCAUCAGCCAUGGCGCGGUGAAUACGUUCCCGGGCCU